rnacentral:rRNA from 1 species
UACGAAGGGGGCUAGCGUUGCUCGGAAUCACUGGGCGUAAAGCGCACGUAGGCGGCUUUCUAAGUCAGGGUGAAAUCCUGGAGCUCAACUCCAGAACUGCCUUUGAUACUGGAGAGCUUGAGUCCGGAAGAGGUGAGUGGAACUCCGAGUGUAGAGGUGAAUUCGUAGAUAUUCGGAAGAACACCAGUGGCGAAGGCGGCUCACUGGUCCGGUACUGACGCUGAUGUGCGAAGCGUGGGAGCAAACAGG